rnacentral:lncRNA from 1 species
UCUUUCACACAACCUAUGCACUUCCAUUAGUAUUACUCAACGAGUUAGGAGAAGGAGGGAACUGCGUGGAAAGACGUCCUUCCCGUUCCUCAAUUGAAUACUCCAUUCACACGCCUUCUAAUACUCUUUUCAAUGUCAUGGUCUGUUCAAGGGAUCUCAUCUCGUUUAAUGGAAGGAUCGUUCAUUGUGCAGAUCUUCUGCGGAAUCAUCGUAUACUUCUACAUAUAAGAACUAAAGGAGUUCCAUAAAACCACAGAACUCUUGACUGAAAGACGCAGUGAGGAACAGAGAGAGUUCCCAUUCUCUAUUACAAGCUCCUUCUUUGAAAUUUUUGAAAGUCAACUCUCUUUCGUCUCAUUUCAUUAAUAAGAGUUCUUCAGUGUUCUUGAUGUAUAUAACGCAGAAAUCACUCACCUCAGUAACAUUUAUAUCAAUUCCAUUUAUAAGUUGGACUUCGUGAUAAUAGGUUUACAUGGAUAAUUAUAUAACCUGGACACUUAAAGUUCACGCCUGAUUUCUAUAUUACUACUAAGUCUCUUUUGUGAUUGGAAAACAAGCGGAAGAUGAUUAUACACUCGUAAAGAUAAUAUGCUUCUCUUUUUUAGAUAUUUUGAUAUGUAAAGAAUGUUCUAUUCUGCUAUUACAUAUAAAUAGUUGUUCGGAACUGUUAAAGUGACUAUGUGAUUGAAAAAUAAAAAUUAAGAGACCUCUUUA